CUUCCCUGCAGUGGCCAACUAUCACUGGCCCAAGCCGGGUCUCAGCUUUGUGGUGAACAGGAAGGUGACUGUUGAGAUUGGAGUCUAUGCCUUGGACCAGUUCCUGAGCACAAAUGAACUACAGGACACCUGGAUGGUGGCAGGACCUCUCUUGGACAACAAGACUGAGCAUGGAGCUGUGGUUUUGUGCGCCUCCCUCAUUUUGUGGUUGUCCAAGGGAAGGACACUCAACAGCAGCAUUCACCGCCAUUUUUUAUCACAUCUUCUAAUGAUACAAUCAAAACUGCUUCUGAAAGUAGCAAUAAUUUUGAGGAGAAGAUGUGGACAGGUCUCUGUUCCAAGUGGCCCACUUUAAAGAGAAGGGGAUGCUCCUAGAGAAGCCAACCAGUGUGGAGCCAGGUCACACAGUCCUGGAAAACCCCACCUUCGCCCUCAUAGGAGUUCUCCUAAAAGUAGUCCCUGCUGCCUGGCACUUCAUCUCCAUCACCCCCACCACACUGUUCUACUGUCACAUCCAUGCUGAGGAAAUCAAACUCCACCUCUACCUGAUCCUCAGUGACUGCACCAUUCGGCAGGUGAACACUAAGAACCAGAAAAUCCAAAGGAACUCAUAAAGUACAGCCAGGGACUGUCUCAAGAGAUUCUCAACUGGAAAUAAGGACUGGCCUCUUUAAACAGAAACCUUGGUGUUGAUGAGGAAUUGUGCCCUGUGGUCAUCUAGAGACUGGCCCCUGUGACAACCCAAAUCUCUCUUAAAGGCAUUCACUGCUGCAUCACUGGUCACUAGAAAAGCUUUUGCAGCCUCUUGCCAGUAGUUAAAAGCAUGCAAUGACAGCAUACCCCAAACUGUAGCUUUUCCUGAUUACUUUUCCUUCUCUUGAAGAGAUCCUAUUCCCACCCCACACAUAACAGGGUACAAGUGUGAGGGAUCUUGUGUGGCAGAACAUGAGGGGAGAGGGAUAUAGAGGUGAUGCAGGCCUCUUUACCCAUACAGGUACAUCAUCCAAACUUGUUCAGAUAUGAUUCCAAAGGACAAAACUCCCAUAACCACUGUUCUCUAUGUCCCUUAGCCCAUAGAUGAUGAAGAAAAGAAGUUUCAAUUUGUGAGAAUACACAAGCCACCUCCACUCAGCUCCCUUCACAUGGGAAGCUGCUAUACUGUGUCUGGUUGAGAGACACUGGAGAUCAGGCCCCAGGUGAGCAGCAGCAUGUCUGCCUAGUCUCUCAGUCAGAAGGCGUGCCUAGACAAAACUGGGGCAGGCCUCAAGUAAUUCCUAGGGACUGGAUGAAUUCAAUUCAAAUGAAUUGAAUUGGGGAGAAAGCAAGGGUCUUAAAGGUGAUCAAGAAUACUUCAAAGGUAGAGAAAAGGCAGUUAGGGAGAGGAAAGAUCACAUCAGUAUGGGAAGAAUCAUGGAAUUUCAUUUGGAAGUGUUUGGUGUAUGGUGUCAAUAGUUUCUUGUCAAAUUGUACUUG